CCUCUUCAGCUCCCUUUGACUGAGAAGGAAAUCUAAAAGGCUGUAAGUGCCCAGUACAGGUCGACCUACAGGACUGACUUUCUUGGAUUACCUCAAGGAAUUAUGAAAAACCAUGCGACCUUUGCACCUUGUAACCGCAGCCAUGUUGUCCACUACUAUACCUAGACUGAAAUAAGACAUAACUACCACCCACCCAAACUGAAACUUGAGCUUCUGGGGAACAACUCUCGCUAUGGGUGCAAUAAGCUGCAUGGUGUAGCAGCGAGGGGUAUUGGUAACCUGAGACUCAGGUGUGCUGUGUCUCUAAGCUUGGGGAGAUCUGUACGCAGCCAUAGCUCGUUCAGCAAAACAAGAAAGCAGCCUCUAAGGAGAACGAAAGCCAAGCCAAGAAGACGAGAGAC
ensembl:lncRNA